CAGUAGCCGCGGUAAUACGUAGGGUGCGAGCGUUAAUCGGAAUUACUGGGCGUAAAGCGUGCGCAGGCGGUUGUGUAAGACAGGUGUGAAAUCCCCGGGCUUAACCUGGGAACUGCGCUUGUGACUGCACAGCUAGAGUAUGGCAGAGGGGGGUGGAAUUCCACGUGUAGCAGUGAAAUGCGUAGAGAUGUGGAGGAACACCGAUGGCGAAGGCAGCCCCCUGGGCCAAUACUGACGCUGAGGCUCGAAAGCGUGGGGAGCAAACAGGAUUAGAUACCCCCGUAGUCCCUGUCUCUUAUAC
rnacentral:rRNA from 1 species